GAUGAACGCUGACAGAAUGCUUAACACAUGCAAGUCUACUUGAUUCUACUUCGGUAGUUGAUGGUGGCGGACGGGUGAGUAACGCGUAAAGCACCUGCCCUUUAGUUUGGGAUAACCUUUCGAAACUAAGGCUAAUAGCGGAUUUUAGGGCGACGUCUCAUGGCGACUUCAUGAACGCUAUAUGCGCUAGAGGAGGACUUUGCGUCCCAUGAGUUAGUUGGUGAGUUAAUGGCUGACCAAGACCGCGAUGGGUAGCCGGCCUGAGAGGGUGAUCGGCCACAAGGGAACUGAGACACGGUCCUUACUACUACGGGAGGCAGCAGUGGGGAAUAUUGGACAACGGGCCACAAGCCUGAUCCAGCAAUUCUGUGUGCACGAUGAAGGUCUUCGGAUUGUAAAGUGCUUUCAGUAGGGAAGAAAAAAAUGACGGUACCUACAGAAGAAGCGACGGCUAAAUAUGUGCCAGCAGCCGCCGUAACAC
rnacentral:rRNA from 1 species